UUUAAAUCAACUGGUGCCAGAAAGUUAAACAGAUUUGUAAAUGAAAUACAUAAAGAAGCACGUACGUGCACUCACCACAUAGCAGAGACAGUCAGGUGCGAAGAUACGGUGACGGGGUGAAGGAUCUCGGCAUCGGCGCUGGCGUGUGGCGCUCGGAGGCUACAAUGGCAGUUUCGCACAAUGUGUAUCCAUACAUCCCACUUAAAUAUACUGCGCAAAGAUAUAAUACUCUGAAGCAGCCAAUUGUAAGAACAAACAAGUGACUUCAAAGCUACCUAAGAUUUCUGUGUUUGUGAUGUCGAUUUCCGGUGCUGAAUAAUAAUUUGCCGUGUAGCUGUUGUGGUCGUCUGGGAGUUGACAGUUCUUCACAGCUUCUUCCAACUCUGAAUCUAUAGAUGAGCUGUCCGUCUGCAAAAGAACAAGAAGAGAAUUCAUGGCACAGCGGAAGUUUGCUUUCCAAGUUUUUGGAUCGGGUUCCUUCUCGCCAACUUUGAACUUUCCUGCAGGAAUGAAUAACAAAUACUUCAAAUGGCUGAAUAAAUACUU